ACCCUGUAGAAAAAAAUUAUGGGGGGCUCCCCCCCUCUGAUAAUUAAAUGCCCGCUGAUUUAUACUGUGCUAAGGUAGCAAAAUAAUUAGGCUUUUAAUUGGAGUCGAGUAUGAAGGAGGUUUUAGGGAUGCCCUUUAUUAUUCUCAGUUUCAGAAAUUACUUACUAGGUGAAAACUACCUAGAAAAGAAAAAAAGACGAAAAGACCCUGGGAAUUUAUAAUAACUUAUUUGUUGGGGCAACACUAUAAAUAAACUUAUGGUUAUUACAAGGCUAUUUUCAAUAUUCUAGCAUAAUUACCCCAGGGAUAACAGCAUAAUAGUUUUUCUGUUUAUGACCUCGAUGUUGGACUAAGAAAGCUCUGGAUAAGCAAUCCAGUUCUUUUGCUCUGUUCG
rnacentral:rRNA from 1 species